GGUUAAGCGACUAAGCGUACACGGUGGAUGCCCCGGCAGUCAGAGGCGAUGAAGGACGUGCUAAUCUGCGAUAAGCGUCGGUAAGGUGAUAUGAACCGUUAUAACCGGCGAUUUCCGAAUGGGGAAACCCAGUGUGUUUCGACACACUAUCAUUAACUGAAUCCAUAGGUUAAUGAGGCGAACCGGGGAACUGAAACAUCUAAGUACCCCGAGGAAAAGAAAUCAACCGAGAUUCCCCAGUAGCGGCGAGCGAACGGGGAGGAGCCCAGAGCCUGAAUCAGUGUGUGUGUUAGUGGAAGCGUCUGGAAAGGCGCGCGAUACAGGGUGACAGCCCCGUACACAAAAAUGCACAUACUGUGAGCUCGAUGAGUAGGGCGGGACACGUGGUAUCCUGUCUGAAUAUGGGGGACCAUCCUCCAAGGCUAAAUACUCCUGACUGACCGAUAGUGAACCAGUACCGUGAGGGAAAGGCGAAAAGAACCCCGGCGAGGGGAGUGAAAAAGAACCUGAAACCGUGUACGUACAAGCAGUGGGAGCCUCUUUUAUGGGGUGACUGCGUACCUUUUGUAUAAUGGGUCAGCGACUUAUAUUCUGUAGCAAGGUUAACCGAAUAGGGAGCCGAAGGGAAACCGAGUCUUAACUGGGCGUUAAGUUGCAGGGUAUAGACCCGAAACCCGGUGAUCUAGCCAUGGGCAGGUUGAAGGUUGGGUAACACUAACUGGAGGACCGAACCGACUAAUGUUGAAAAAUUAGCGGAUGACUUGUGGCUGGGGGUGAAAGGCCAAUCAAACCGGGAGAUAGCUGGUUCUCCCGAAAGCUAUUUAGGUAGCGCCUCGUGAAUUCAUCUCCGGGGUAGAGCACUGUUUCGGCAAGGGGGUCAUCCCGACUUACCAACCCGAUGCAAACUGCGAAUACCGGAGAAUGUUAUCACGGGAGACACACGGCGGGUGCUAACGUCCGUCGUGAAGAGGGAAACAACCCAGACCGCCAGCUAAGGUCCCAAAGUCAUGGUUAAGUGGGAAACGAUGUGGGAAGGCCCAGACAGCCGGGAUGUUGGCUUAGAAGCAGCCAUCAUUUAAAGAAAGCGUAAUAGCUCACUGGUCGAGUCGGCCUGCGCGGAAGAUGUAACGGGGCUAAACCAUGCACCGAAGCUGCGGCAGCGACGCUUAUGCGUUGUUGGGUAGGGGAGCGUUCUGUAAGCCUGUGAAGGUGUACUGUGAGGUAUGCUGGAGGUAUCAGAAGUGCGAAUGCUGACAUAAGUAACGAUAAAGCGGGUGAAAAGCCCGCUCGCCGGAAGACCAAGGGUUCCUGUCCAACGUUAAUCGGGGCAGGGUGAGUCGACCCCUAAGGCGAGGCCGAAAGGCGUAGUCGAUGGGAAACAGGUUAAUAUUCCUGUACUUGGUGUUACUGCGAAGGGGGACGGAGAAGGCUAUGUUGGCCGGGCGACGGUUGUCCCGGUUUAAGCGUGUAGGCUGGUUUUCCGUGCAAAUCCGGAAAAUCAAGGCUGAGGCGUGAUGACGAGGCACUACGGUGCUGAAGCAACAAAUGCCCUGCUUCCGGGAAAAGCCUCUAAGCAUCAGGUAACAUCAAAUCGUACCCCAAACCGACACAGGUGGUCAGGUAGAGAAUACCAAGGCGCUUGAGAGAACUCGGGUGAAGGAACUAGGCAAAAUGGUGCCGUAACUUCGGGAGAAGGCACGCUGAUAUGUAGGUGAAGCGACUUGCUCGUGGAGCUGAAAUCAGUCGAAGAUACCAGCUGGCUGCAACUGUUUAUUAAAAACACAGCACUGUGCAAACACGAAAGUGGACGUAUACGGUGUGACGCCUGCCCGGUGCCGGAAGGUUAAUUGAUGGGGUUAGCGGUAACGCGAAGCUCUUGAUCGAAGCCCCGGUAAACGGCGGCCGUAACUAUAACGGUCCUAAGGUAGCGAAAUUCCUUGUCGGGUAAGUUCCGACCUGCACGAAUGGCGUAAUGAUGGCCGGGCUGUCUCCACCCGAGACUCAGUGAAAUUGAACUCGCUGUGAAGAUGCAGUGUACCCGCGGCAAGACGGAAAGACCCCGUGAACCUUUACUAUAGCUUGACACUGAACAUUGAGCCUUGAUGUGUAGGAUAGGUGGGAGGCUUUGAAGUGUGGACGCCAGUCUGCAUGGAGCCGGCCUUGAAAUACCACCCUUUAAUGUUUGAUGUUCUAACGUUGGCCCCUGAUCGGGGUUGCGGACAGUGUCUGGUGGGUAGUUUGACUGGGGCGGUCUCCUCCUAAAGAGUAACGGAGGAGCACGAAGGUUGGCUAAUCUCGGUCGGACAUCAGGAGGUUAGUGCAAUGGCAUAAGCCAGCUUGACUGCGAGCGUGACGGCGCGAGCAGGUGCGAAAGCAGGUCAUAGUGAUCCGGUGGUUCUGAAUGGAAGGGCCAUCGCUCAACGGAUAAAAGGUACUCCGGGGAUAACAGGCUGAUACCGCCCAAGAGUUCAUAUCGACGGCGGUGUUUGGCACCUCGAUGUCGGCUCAUCACAUCCUCGGGGCUGAAGUAGGUCCCAAGGGUAUGGCUGUUCGCCAUUUAAAGUGGUACGCGAGCUGGGUUUAGAACGUCGUGAGACAGUUCGGUCCCUAUCUGCCGUGGGCGCUGGAGAACUGAGGGGGCUGCUCCUAGUACGAGAGGACCGGAGUGGACGCAUCACUGGUGUUCGGGUUGUCAUGCCAAUGGCACUGCCCGGUAGCUAAAUGCGGAAGAGAUAAGUGCUGAAAGCAUCUAAGCACGAAACUUGCCCCGAGAUGAGUUCUCCCUGAGACUUUAAGUCUCCUGAAGGAACGUUGAAGACGACGACGUUGAUAGGCCGGGUGUGUAAGCGCAGCGAUGCGUUGAGCUAACCGGUACUAAUGAACCGUGAGGCUUAACCUU
rnacentral:rRNA from 1 species